GAGUACGCCCAAGCAACCUCAUCGCCAGCCCGUGAACGCAGCUUGAUUCCUGGCCACUUGGAGGAGGAUUGUCCUUUAUCUUCUACACUGCACUGUCACUUCUGAGGCUCUUAAGAAGACUGCAAGAAGCUGAGAGGGAACUCUCAAAAUUGGUACAAGAGGACUGAGGGUGUCUUGAAUGCACAAAUGUCUGCAGUAUAAGCAGUACUGAAAAAUGUAUAGUUGCUGCUGCUUCUAACUGUCCCUGGUUUUUUUCUUGUGCAAAUGUUCAAAGCUUUCAGUAAACACUGGUUCAAAAACA